rnacentral:rRNA from 1 species
AAUUUUUGACAAUGGGGGAAACCCUGAUCCAGCAAUGCCGCGUGCAGGAUGAAGGCCUUAGGGUUGUACCCUGCUUUUGUACGGAACGAAAAGUCUUGGGCUAAUACCCUGGGCUCAUGACGGUACCGUAAGAAUAAGCAACGGCUAACUACGUGCCACCAGCCGCGGUAAUACGUAGGGUGCAAGCGUUAAUCGGAAUUACUGGGCGUAAAGCGUGCGCAGGCGGUUUUGUAAGACAGUGGUGAAAUCCCCGGGCUCAACCUGGGAACUGCCAUUGUGACUGCAAGGCUGGAGUGCGGCAGGGGGGGAUGGAAUUCCGCGUGUAGCAGUGAAAUGCGUAGAUAUGCGGAGGAACACCGAUGGCGAAGGCAAUCCCCUGGGCCUGCACUGACGCUCAUGCACGAAAGCGUGGGGAGCAAACAGG